rnacentral:rRNA from 1 species
GACCAGACUCCUACGGGAGGCAGCAGUGGGGAAUAUUGCACAAUGGGGGGAACCCUGAUGCAGCGACGCCGCGUGAGCGAUGAAGUAUUUCGGUAUGUAAAGCUCUAUCAGCAGGGAAGAAAAUGACGGUACCUGACUAAGAAGCCCCGGCUAACUACGUGCCAGCAGCCGCGGUAAUACGUAGGGGGCAAGCGUUAUCCGGAUUUACUGGGUGUAAAGGGAGCGUAGACGGCUGUGCAAGUCUGGAGUGAAAGGCAUGGGCUCAACCUGUGGACUGCUUUGGAAACUGUGCGGCUUGAGUGUCGGAGAGGCAAGUGGAAUUCCUAGUGUAGCGGUGAAAUGCGUAGAUAUUAGGAGGAACACCGGUGGCGAAGGCGGCUUACUGGACCGUAACUGACGUUGAGGCUCGAAAGCGUGGGGAGCAAACAGGAUUAGAUACCCCCGUAACG